UGUCCAAGCACCCGGGGCUGGUGAGACUCACCCAGAGGAGAGUCUAUUACUGCCUCCCUGCUGCUUUCCUAAACCAAUAUAACCUCUAACUAUAAUUCUAAAUUCUUAGCCUUCUACCCACAGAUCAACACAGCUCUCAUUUCUCAUCGGAGAAGCUUUGUGUUGGUAGAUGGAGGUUACAGAGAAGUACUAAGUGACCAUGGGGGACCUAGCCACAGGUGGCACAUCUGCACUGUGACUCCUACACUUAAGGCUCAGAGAAAAAUGCAGAAAAGGGGAUGGAAGGACUGUAAAAGUCGGAGGACCAGGACACCUGCUGCAGGACAGUGUCUUCUGAAUGUGACAGAGAACUGUGCUCAUAAAAUAGCAACAAUAUGGUUCCAUAAACAAGACCUGCAAAAUGCCAGCACCAGUGAUAUGCCAAUGUGUUUGGGGAAAACUCCACAAUGUUCCACCCUUAGAUCAAAAGCUACAGGCGACCAAUGGCCACUGAGAGAAGGAGAACCUGUUUUCGUCAGGGGUGCACCCCUUGAAAUCCACGGGGCAUGAUAAGCAGCCUCUCUAGGCAUGCUGAGGAUUGUGGAGAAGGCUGUGGAGGCAGAAUCUGGAGAAGGCUUGCUGAUGGCUGUGUUGGAGACUGAGCUGCUCAGACCAGGGGGUAACAGUGAAUUGGAGGCUGGCCAUGAGGAAGGAUUCAGAGCCAGCUCUUCUCAGAGAGAAAAAUGAAAACCAUCCAUUAGCAAAAUGGAGAUGGCAUAGGGGACCCAGAGCACAUCAUGAAAUAAAUACAGUAAGUGACCAUUGCACUGAUGGCCUGAAUGACAGAAGAAGAGAACAUUUUGAGACCAGACUCAGGAUCUUGAAAAUGGGGAAGGAUGGGAAGAAAUUGAAAUGUAAGCACCAGAAUGAUCCAGUGUUUCUCUCACUCAUUGGAGAGGUGUGAUGUGUGAAUGUGUCUGGAGCUGGAAUCAGCGGAGGGUGGAAGUAGAGAUGGAAAGUCAUGCAGAUCACAGGCCAGCUCCAGAAUGUCACGGUGCUUCUCCCAGGGCCUGGAACAGGUGAAGACAGCAGGUGUAGCCAGAGGCCUGGGGGAGUAAGAAGGACAAGACACCUGCCUCACUGUGGGGUUCAGCUGUUCUGAGGCCUAGACGCACACGGACCAUUAUCAGGACGAAUUUUAACCCAUGAGCCAUUACCUCAUGAGAGGAGAGGAAGCAGAAAUGCUUACCUCAGCACUGUGCUUAAGAUUCAACAUCUCCAUCCAUUCCCAAGCCCCUUUGGACAAUGCCAGCUCAGUCUGUUCUCCCAGGAGACAUCCUUUCUUCCAGAAGCUCUCCUUGACUGUCUGGACAGUAAUCCUUCCUAUGGAUACCACCUUCCCUCUUCUGUCACGGUCCUUUUCAGGCCAUCUCUCACUGUGUCUCUUGCCUAUUCAACGGUGAGCUAUGAGAGGAGAGGAGAAGACAACAUCUUGUCAACCACAGCUCUCACAGUGUCUGAUAUUGUCUCUGUCUGUGUGGACAGAAACUGAAUUAAUGCAUGUCAAGUACCCAGUGCAAGUGUGGUCCAGGAGGCCAAGGAGUAGGCUCCUUUCCUCAUGUUCUUUGUGUAACUCAGCAACUCUAGGUAAAUAAUUAAUCGUUACAUAGCCAUUUACUCACCCAAUGGGAUUAUUUGCUGACAAGUCGGUGUGUAAAGCUAGAACGCCUUGGUUUUUCUUGUCCUCAUCAGCACUUUCCUAUACAAAAUUCCUUCCAGUUAACACCAAACGGUUCUGUUUGGGAUAUUUCAUGAAAGCUUAUUUAAAAAACUAUUUAGCCACUAUGGUGGUGCACAUACAUCCGUAAUUCCAGCAUUUGAGAAGCACAGACAAGAAGGUCAUGGACUUGAGGACUGUCUGGGCUACUGUGAGAUACACUUUAAAAAAAAAAAAAACCCCACAAAUAAACAAAUGUUCAGAAACCCCUUACCCUUUUGUCAUCUGAGAGAGUUAGAAGCCAGAGAGAAGCUAAGGACUAUGUGAUGGAGCACUGGGUAAGUAACAGUGACUGAGAGAGAGGAUUUGGCGGGACGUAUCCUGGUCAGGUGCUCACGGUAUGGAUCCACAAGCUGUUGGCUGAAAAUAAACAGUGUCUGUUUGGUGGUACACCGCCCACCCCCUCAUACAAAGCGUAGGCAAGACUGUGAGCCCAAAGCGCCCCAAGCUUUCCUUGGUUUUCCUCACUAGGACUUUUUAUAUGUUUGUUUCUGUUUUUUUUUCUUUUUAAAUAACUUUCUGUAUGUGAGUAACUGUCCUUUCUAUGCAGAUUUUGUAUAUUGUUGUCUCUUAACCCCAACACUCUCCAUAUGAGUCCCCCAAUACUCUCACCCUCAAGGGGUCAGUGCACAGUCCCAAUCUGUGCUCUUUACAAAGUGACCUGUAGAGAUUUCCUUCCCUGUGUUUGGGGUAUUAUAUCUAGUUCCCAAAGCAAAUAGUCCCAGUGAUCAGCUCCCCACCCUUAUCGGUUAACACCACUAUAAAUGAGUUGGCUACAUAACCUGGAUCUGGCUACAUACAGAAUGGGCGGGGAUCUAUGGGAAGGAUCAGGUCAUACAGGGACCUAGACUUUUCACAUGCAAAGGGCAGGGCAAAGGGUGAAGAAUGUGCUGUGACUUGUGUGAGAACUGGGUACCAGAUGAGACUUGGAACUUGGUCAAAGACCGCAGUGAGAAGAAAUGUGGGUUAACCAACAACCUGGUCUGAAACUCCCCUUCUCCUGUGGAUUGGGAAGGAUACAGCUUUUCUGAUCAUUUAGCGGGGCUCUGUGAUCCUGCCACAAGGAGUGUGUUCUAAUAACUUUGGCCACCUGGGGUGGCUUGAGAACUUAGCCUCUAAAAUGUACAUGCUACUUAGUGUGUGCGUAACAUAUGAUGCUAAAGAAGUGUCUCCAACUGAAGGAACUCUAAUUUAUUUGUGCUUAAAGAAGAACCCAAAGGGGGAAAAUAUCAAGAUACUCUGUCAAGAGAUGAAGGCAAGAAACAGAAUAUAUGUCCUUUCUCCUACAGGAUAUUCUUAGCUCUUAGGAUAAGACUCUUUGCAUUUCUAACUGCAACAAGAUAGAUAACAGAGACAGGGUGGGGACAACUUAAAGAGAUUAGAGAAAAACACGAGAGGACAAGAUCUAUGGCAUACACCAGGAUUAGAACACUCUCAGAGUGCAAAUACAGUUCUCACAGGAUUUGGUUAGGGGUGGGGGACUUUUGUCUCACCAAGUCCCUUAGCUCCUAUGCUGGGUCUUUGCUUCCUUUGUGUAACUACAUCGUUAUUGACAUGGUUAUAUUUUCCUCAACACUGCAGGUGGCUUGUCCAUAGUCACUGGUACCGGUGAACACUUAACAUACUUCGCAAAUCAAAGCACACUUUACAAAUCAAAGUACAAUUUUCUAGCUAAAAUAUUGUAUAGAAAAUAACUAAAGACUGUAACUAAAAUAUAAAGAAUUGGGACUGCAUGUCUCUGAACUUCUUGCACUUGGAUUGAGGGUAUGGCAGAUAUGAUGAAGCUUGCUAUUUUUCUCCCAAUGUUAAACUCUUUUGAGACAGGGUCCCAUGUAUCCAUGGCUGGCCCAGAGCUUACUCUGUAGCCAUGGAUGACCUUUAAUGUUUGGUUUAUUUGCCUUUACCUCCUAAGUGAUAGGGUUAGGCAUUUGGUACCACGUCUGGUUUAUCUGGUUCUGGGGACUGAAGCCAGGGCUUAGUGCAUGUUGUGUAAACACUCCACCAACUGAACUACAUCUCCAGUCCCUGACUCUAAUUUUCAUUCAUUCAGCCAGUUAAUAUCCACAUGUUCCAGAUAAGUGCCUAGAAUGGUACAGAGCACGCUGGCAUACAAAACAGUCAUUGUGCUCAAGCUUUGGACAUAUAUGUCUGUGGGAAGAGAUAGAUAUAAAUUAAUCAUCCACAUUUGUAAUUACCAACUGUGACAUGAACCACAGAAGGAAAGUGCUAUCUGCUCACAUAUGCGUCUGCAGAGUGUGAGACCCAGAGUGCUGAAAUCCUAGCAAUGCCAGGCUCUGGACAGCGUGUGCCGGGCUCCAUGGAAACCUGCAUCCAAAGGCUAUUCUUUGCUGUGAGGUUGGAAAGAGGAAAAUGAAGAUGAACUCAAUUUCUGAAGACUUGAUUGGACAGUAAAAAAUUUUAUUAGGCUCAGGGCAAAAUAUUUUUAUUUUCUCAAUAAAGCUGUGGGUAAUCCUUGUCUCGGGUCACUAAGCAUUCUCAUUAAACUGACAUGACUUUGGCUCCAAUUCUAUGAGGUGGAGACAUUUUCCAACCUUGGAGAAAAAUUAACUUUGUAAUGGCCCCAUGGAACUUCAGAUGACAUUAAACUGCCUGCCUUUAGUUAGGAAUAUCACUUAAUGUAUUGAAAUGAACAUUAGCAGUAAAAAUAAUAUAAUUGAAAAUAAUCA